GUAAGGAUGGCCGAGCGGUCUAAGGCGCUGCGUUCAGGUCGCAGUCCACUUGCUGUGGGCGUGGGUUCAAAUCCCACUUCUGACA